AGAAUCUUGCUCUAUCACCCAGCUGGAGUGCAGUGGCACCAUUGCAGCUUACUGCAGCCUCAAACUCCUGGCUCAAGGGAUCCUUCAGCUUCAGCCUCCUGGUUAACUAGGACUAUAGGUUUACAAGAACUGGUCAGUAAAGCUGGUUUUUCAAUUGGUGCUGGAUGCCAAUCACGAUCUCCCAUGGCCUGUGGCUUGCAGUGCUCCUCAAUCUAUCUGAAGACACAGGCUGACAGCUCCUAGAAGUUGGUCACAGAGAUGAAGACAUUGAAGGACUGGAACAGGGAGUUCGUGAUACCUCGAAACACACUGACCUUGACUUGGUCAGAGGCCUGGUCCUCCCCUCAUGGGGGUUGUCCUGGUGUGCCUUCACAAUCUGCUUAUAGUUCCCUUUCAUGAUCUUUAGGGCUGUGAGGUCCUUGCAUAGUGUGGACACCUCCUCCUCCUGCAUUUUCUUCUCCUUGUGCAAAAACUGAGUGUAGUCAAUGGUCUUUUGUAGAACGAUGGCUUUGCUGAGCUUUCGGGAGCCAAUGCAGGAGUCCUGCUGCUGGCAUGUGGGGAUGAUGGUCUGAAGGUCAUCACAGCCUCUCUUGAUGACAUCCUUCCUCUUCUGCUCAGCCUCAGUGUGUGCUCACCACUACUGGUCCUUGUAGGACUCUUGGUGGUAAUCACUGUCCUCCUCAUCUGUGUUGGGGAUGGAAGAGGCACUGGUGGAACCGAUGCUAUUAGCUCUAGACACUACUGUCCCAUUGUGGGUGCUUUCUAUAAAAUACGUGAGGUCUGAGCUUUUGUAGCUGUAGAUGUACUCCACCUUUACCCAGGGGUCUUUGGGAGAGGCACCUGGCUCCAUCGUCUUGGACCUACUGGACCAGAAACAAG
rnacentral:lncRNA from 10 species